rnacentral:rRNA from 1 species
GACGAACCGUGCGAACGUUGUUCGGAAUCACUGGGCUUAAAGCGUGUGUAGGCGGCUGUCUAAGUACCUUGUGAAAUCCCACGGCUCAACCGUGGAACUGCUUGGUAUACUGGACGUCUUGAGCCAGCUAGGGGCUACCGGAACAAAUGGUGGAGCGGUGAAAUGCGUAGAUAUCAUUUGGAACGCCAAUGGUGAAAACAGGUAGCUGGGGCUGUGCUGACGCUGAGACACGAAAGCCAGGGGAGCGAACGGG